rnacentral:rRNA from 13 species
GCGCGGAAGAUGUAACGGGGCUAAGCGAUGUACCGAAGCUGCGGGUGCAUAGCAAUAUGCGCGGUAGAGGAGCGUUCCGUAAGCCUGCGAAGGUGACUCGUAAGGGUUGCUGGAGGUAUCGGAAGUGCGAAUGCUGACAUGAGUAACGAUAAUGCAGGUGAAAAACCUGCACGCCGUAAGCCCAAGGUUUCCUGCGCAACGAUUUUCGGCGCAGGGUAAGUCGGAUCCUAAGGCGAGGCCGAAAGGCGUAGUCGAUGGGAACAGGGUGAAUAUUCCCUGGCCAGCGGGUGGUGACGGAUGCCGUAUAUCGUUCGUGCUUAUUGGAUUGCUCGGG